UUGUAAUAAAACAAAAUGCCUAAAAUAUAUCUCGGGAUUUGUUUUUGACUCAUUAAACAGCGUGAAAAUCAGCCGACCGUGUCCAUAUAUCCACUAUCUAUUCUGUAUUCAUGGCAAAAUGCGCACUAUUAUUAAUUGAAUAAUUGGUCUGAGCGGCAACGCCUUGUUUGUAAUUAUAACAUAGUUAUUAAGUUUGUUGCUAUGCCGGUACGCGAUCUUUGGUUACCAACCAUCGAUUAGUCGGCUGCAGUGAUCGCUGCAUGUAUUUAGGAAUCCAACCCUCAACUCGAGACGGUGACGACGGUGAUGACGGGAAUCUUAAAAGGUCACGCUGAAAGCGGCGCGAUGACACGAGGCGGCCAUUCGGCAAGACAACGGGGCCGCGGUUCCCGCCAAAACGACAGCAGGCUGUGGCGCGAAGGCUCGCUAUUGGUCGGCGGCGUGUCGGGCGGCGGCGAGCAAGGCCGCCGGUUUUCCCGCGAACAAUGCCAAAUGGUGCAUUUGUCAAGGUGAGUUCGUUCACCGCUGACGCUUGCGCCGCUCCGCACCGUUCAGACAAUCGCUCACUCGCCUCGCGCCAACCGAAGGUCGAUGGAAGCCGACGCGCUAACAGUUUCACCUCAAUAAUAUCAUGAUUAUAACAGGUUAUCGCCGCAUUAAGACACGAAGUCACAUGUGUAUCGGAACGAAGUUUUAUUUAAGAAGAAAGAAGAAAAGUAUCAAGUGCUACGCCCGGACGAAAUUCCCAGCUCGGCCGACAUUCGCGGGUCGGUGGGAUCUUCGUCCGUGUUUAUCGCUUAUACGAAUAUACAACGUUGAAGAUACAGCAUGGAACUUGCACUUAAUGGAAGAUCCGAAGAUUCAACUCCCAGAUACAGCCAGCAACCAUAAAUACUAUACAAAAUACUUAUAUUUUUUUUAGUAUCGUACACAGGCUGCCGGCUGUUCUAAUGACAUCUGAAUAGACAAGAUAUGUCAAGAAGAUCGGAUACGGAUAUUGACAUUUUUUUAUUUUAAUAUUUUUAAACAUGCUAAUACUGAAUUAACAAAAUUUAUCUCUUUAAUAAAAGGCUUUAAAUUUUGCUAUAUUUAUAUAUGAGUAGGACUUUUCUCUUUAAUAUAGUUUUCUAUAUAUGUCUUAGUUUUAUUAAAGUGGCAACACCGUCAACUCGUCACAUACAAUAAUAUAAAUGUGUAUAUACUGACUAACUGUAAAACUAAGUCCCUUAUUUAAAUUAAAUUUUAAUUUAAAUCAAUUGUAAUAAAAUGUUGUUAUCGAUGUGUGUCAAACAUUGCUCACCUUUUUAAAUAUAUAUGAUAAUAUUUAAGAUUAAUAAAAUAUAAUAAGGUAUUAUAGGAAUUCAUUUGUUAUACAUUUGUGUGUGUAUAUAUUUAUAGUCUUACUUAAAACGGAGCAGCUCGGAUGUCAAUUGUAAAGAAGUUUUUCGAAGAAGUAAAAUAAAAGAAGCAUAAACUAAUAAUUAUUAAUCUAAUAUAUGUACAUUUAUAUCACGAUUACUUUACUUUGUAUAUCAUUUCAUAAUACUGUUCCGUUUCUAUAAUUACUGUUUUGGGAAUAGAUUUUUUUAUGUACAUACGUUAAAUUUUUAAAAUAAAAAAAAAAACCUCUAUUUUUUUUUCCUUUUGAAACGGCACUAACCGGACGGCAUUACUUUUAUGAACGUCUUAAGAAUUAUUUUUAUUUGACCUCAAAACACUGACAGCUAGAAACUAUUUCCUGCUAUAAAAAUUUAAACUAUUCUCUCCUUCGCUUUCCAUGAAUAUUUUUCAAUACUGAUUCAUCAUUACCAUUCAAUUAAUUGGUGAUUGAUUUUGAAUUACUUGUAGAACAAAGCGAGUAGAAUCUGAUUUUUAACUAAAACUUUAUCGACUUACUCAAUCAAUUAAUGCCAACUAUAUUUCAAUUAAAUUAAACUAAUUUAUUUAGAAAGUUGGACAGAACAGCUAUGUACAUAUAAUUUUUAUAUUUUACAAUUAAAUCUUAAAUUAUUAUAAAAUAUACCGUAAUAUAAUGAUUUUAAGGACAAAUUAUAUGAUAAAGUCAAACCAGAAACGGCUCUUAAUUCUAAUUUCCCGCUAUUAAAUCAUUUACACAGAAUAAUUGUCUCUUCCAUUUCUGGACAAGUUCGAACAUGUCGGUACAAGUUUAAGUUUCAAAAUGGCGUUCCAUCCGUUGAACGUACAUUAUGACUAACGAGGAAUAAACAGUCGGAUAAAUAAAUUAUUAAAAACAUAUAGUGAGUAAUUUGUACGAAAAAUGAAAAUUAUAAAAGUACUUAAUAGUUAUAUUUUAUUCCCAAACCCUAUUUGGUUCUAUAUUUGUUAUCCCGAUAUAAUUUCAUUUUCAGCAUGACAAAUAUAAUUGAUAUUUUUUUUUUUAAAUAAUUAUACCUUUUAUUAAAAAAUAAUUAUACCUAGUUUUAAAGGCUCCUGCCUAUAAUUGAGUCUGGACUUAAAUUAUAAAGAAUAGUAUACAUUGGAAUGUAUAACUAUACAGAACAUAGUAAUUAUUUGUGGCCAAAUUUUUAUAUAUAAUAUGAAAUGGUAAAGAUUUCGAGUUCCGAUAUUACCGAUGUUAAAUUUUCUUUCAACCAACGGCCGACUGCCGAAAAGAAUUAAAAAUAUACAAUUGCUUGGUGUGACUGAGAAACAGAAUAGUCUUUGUUAUUGAAAACACUGUAUUUUUUUUUUUACUUCUAUCGGACCGACCUCUAAUGUUAAAUAAUUGAAUCCUUUUACUUCACAAUAAACAUUUAAUUCAUGUU